rnacentral:tRNA from 1 species
GUGUCCAUAGCUCAAAUGGAUAGAGCACUUGAUUCCGAUUCAAGAGGUUGCGGGUUCAACUCCUGUUGGGCACACCA